rnacentral:rRNA from 1 species
CCCUUAGAUGUUCUGGGCAGCACGCGCGCUACAAUGGUCUUCGCAAACGGAUGCAUUCUCGAAGGAGAAUGCCAAUCUUGGAAUCUAUGCCUUGGUCGGGACAGUUGCUUGCAAUUUUUCGACUCGAACCAGGAAUUCCUUGUAAUCGUGAUUCAUCACAUCACGAUGAAUACGUCCCUGCCCUUUGUACACACCGCCCGUCGCUCCUACCGAUUGAGUGUGUUGGUGAGGAGUUUGGAUUGGCCUCGGAAGGUGGUUCGCCACCGUCCGUAGCUGAGAAGUUCUCCAAACCGCCCCACUUAGAGGAAGGAGAAGUCGUAACA